rnacentral:rRNA from 1 species
AACGAACGCUGGCGGCAGGCUCAACACAUGCAAGUCGAACGCCUCCUUCGGGGUGAGUGGCAGACGGGUGAGUAACGCGUGGGAACGUGCCCUUCAGUUCGGGAUAACCCAGGGAACCUUGGGCUAAUACCGGAUACGUGCGAGAGCAGAAAGAUUUAUCGCUGAAGGAUCGGCCCGCGUCUGAUUAGCUAGUUGGUGGGGUAAUGGCCCACCAAGGCGACGAUCAGUAGCUGGUCUGAGAGGAUGAUCAGCCACAUUGGGACUGAGCCACGGCCCAAACUCCUACGGGUGGCAGCAGUGGGGAAUAUUGGACAAUGGGCGCAAGCCUGAUCCAGCCAUGCCGCGUGAGUGAUGAAGGCCUUAGGGUUGUAAAGCUCUUUCGUCCGGGACGAUAAUGACGGUACCGGAAGAAGAAGCCCCGGCUAACUUCUUGCCAGCCGCCGCCGUAA